GGGUUGUGAGGUUAAGCGACUAAGCGUACACGGUGGAUGCCCUGGCAGUCAGAGGCGAUGAAGGACGUGCUAAUCUGCGAUAAGCGUCGGUAAGGUGAUAUGAACCGUUAUAACCGGCGAUUUCCGAAUGGGGAAACCCAGUGUGUUUCGACACACUAUCAUUAACUGAAUCCAUAGGUUAAUGAGGCGAACCGGGGGAACUGAAACAUCUAAGUACCCCGAGGAAAAGAAAUCAACCGAGAUUCCCCCAGUAGCGGCGAGCGAACGGGGAGCAGCCCAGAGCCUGAAUCAGUGUGUGUGUUAGUGGAAGCGUCUGGAAAGGCGCGCGAUACAGGGUGACAGCCCCGUACACAAAAAUGCACAUGCUGUGAGCUCGAUGAGUAGGGCGGGACACGUGGUAUCCUGUCUGAAUAUGGGGGGACCAUCCUCCAAGGCUAAAUACUCCUGACUGACCGAUAGUAAACCAGUACCGUGAGGGAAAGGCGAAAAGAACCCCGGCGAGGGGAGUGAAAAAGAACCUGAAACCGUGUACGUACAAGCAGUGGGAGCACGCUUAGGCGUGUGACUGCGUACCUUUUGUAUAAUGGGUCAGCGACUUAUAUUCUGUAGCAAGGUUAACCGAAUAGGGGAGCCGAAGGGAAACCGAGUCUUAACUGGGCGUUAAGUUGCAGGGUAUAGACCCGAAACCCGGUGAUCUAGCCAUGGGCAGGUUGAAGGUUGGGUAACACUAACUGGAGGACCGAACCGACUAAUGUUGAAAAAUUAGCGGAUGACUUGUGGCUGGGGGUGAAAGGCCAAUCAAACCGGGAGAUAGCUGGUUCUCCCCGAAAGCUAUUUAGGUAGCGCCUCGUGAAUUCAUCUCCGGGGGUAGAGCACUGUUUCGGCAAGGGGGUCAUCCCGACUUACCAACCCGAUGCAAACUGCGAAUACCGGAGAAUGUUAUCACGGGAGACACACGGCGGGUGCUAACGUCCGUCGUGAAGAGGGAAACAACCCAGACCGCCAGCUAAGGUCCCAAAGUCAUGGUUAAGUGGGAAACGAUGUGGGAAGGCCCAGACAGCCAGGAUGUUGGCUUAGAAGCAGCCAUCAUUUAAAGAAAGCGUAAUAGCUCACUGGUCGAGUCGGCCUGCGCGGAAGAUGUAACGGGGCUAAACCAUGCACCGAAGCUGCGGCAGCGACGCUUAUGCGUUGUUGGGUAGGGGAGCGUUCUGUAAGCCUGUGAAGGUGUGCUGUGAGGCAUGCUGGAGGUAUCAGAAGUGCGAAUGCUGACAUAAGUAACGAUAAAGCGGGUGAAAAGCCCGCUCGCCGGAAGACCAAGGGUUCCUGUCCAACGUUAAUCGGGGCAGGGUGAGUCGACCCCUAAGGCGAGGCCGAAAGGCGUAGUCGAUGGGAAACAGGUUAAUAUUCCUGUACUUGGUGUUACUGCGAAGGGGGGACGGAGAAGGCUAUGUUGGCCGGGCGACGGUUGUCCCGGUUUAAGCGUGUAGGCUGGUUUUCCAGGCAAAUCCGGAAAAUCAAGGCUGAGGCGUGAUGACGAGGCACUACGGUGCUGAAGCAACAAAUGCCCUGCUUCCAGGAAAAGCCUCUAAGCAUCAGGUAACAUCAAAUCGUACCCCAAACCGACACAGGUGGUCAGGUAGAGAAUACCAAGGCGCUUGAGAGAACUCGGGUGAAGGAACUAGGCAAAAUGGUGCCGUAACUUCGGGAGAAGGCACGCUGAUAUGUAGGUGAAGUCCCUUGCGGAUGGAGCUGAAAUCAGUCGAAGAUACCAGCUGGCUGCAACUGUUUAUUAAAAACACAGCACUGUGCAAACACGAAAGUGGACGUAUACGGUGUGACGCCUGCCCGGUGCCGGAAGGUUAAUUGAUGGGGUUAGCGGUAACGCGAAGCUCUUGAUCGAAGCCCCGGUAAACGGCGGCCGUAACUAUAACGGUCCUAAGGUAGCGAAAUUCCUUGUCGGGUAAGUUCCGACCUGCACGAAUGGCGUAAUGAUGGCCAGGCUGUCUCCACCCGAGACUCAGUGAAAUUGAACUCGCUGUGAAGAUGCAGUGUACCCGCGGCAAGACGGAAAGACCCCGUGAACCUUUACUAUAGCUUGACACUGAACAUUGAGCCUUGAUGUGUAGGAUAGGUGGGAGGCUUUGAAGUGUGGACGCCAGUCUGCAUGGAGCCGACCUUGAAAUACCACCCUUUAAUGUUUGAUGUUCUAACGUUGACCCGUGAUCCGGGUUGCGGACAGUGUCUGGUGGGUAGUUUGACUGGGGCGGUCUCCUCCUAAAGAGUAACGGAGGAGCACGAAGGUUGGCUAAUCCUGGUCGGACAUCAGGAGGUUAGUGCAAUGGCAUAAGCCAGCUUGACUGCGAGCGUGACGGCGCGAGCAGGUGCGAAAGCAGGUCAUAGUGAUCCGGUGGUUCUGAAUGGAAGGGCCAUCGCUCAACGGAUAAAAGGUACUCCGGGGAUAACAGGCUGAUACCGCCCAAGAGUUCAUAUCGACGGCGGUGUUUGGCACCUCGAUGUCGGCUCAUCACAUCCUGGGGCUGAAGUAGGUCCCAAGGGUAUGGCUGUUCGCCAUUUAAAGUGGUACGCGAGCUGGGUUUAGAACGUCGUGAGACAGUUCGGUCCCUAUCUGCCGUGGGCGCUGGAGAACUGAGGGGGGCUGCUCCUAGUACGAGAGGACCGGAGUGGACGCAUCACUGGUGUUCGGGUUGUCAUGCCAAUGGCACUGCCCGGUAGCUAAAUGCGGAAGAGAUAAGUGCUGAAAGCAUCUAAGCACGAAACUUGCCCCGAGAUGAGUUCUCCCUGACCCUUUAAGGGUCCUGAAGGAACGUUGAAGACGACGACGUUGAUAGGCCGGGUGUGUAAGCGCAGCGAUGCGUUGAGCUAACCGGUACUAAUGAACCGUGAGGCUUAACCUUACAACGCCGAAGGUGUUU
rnacentral:rRNA from 1 species